ACAAACACACUGCAAAAGAAGAUUACAUCGGAUAGAUCUCCAUGAAGAUCAUGGAGAACUUUGUAUUGAAGAUCCAAGAGAGAGAAGAAGCCAUCUAACUACUAGCUAUGGACCCGUAGGUCUAUGGUGAACUACUCACGCAUCAUCGGAGAGGUCAUGGUGUUGAUGAAGAAGCCCUCCGUAUCCAAAUCCCCCUCCAGCAGGGCACCAGAACGUGCCCCAGAUGGGAUCUUGCGGAGACAGAAGCUUGCGGCGGCGGAAAAGUACUUUCGAUGAUCUCCUGAUUUUUUCUGGGAGUUUAGGGAAUAUAUCGGCGCAAAACCUAGGGCAGAGGUGGCCCAAGGAUCCCACAAGCCAGGGAGGCGCGGGCCCCCCUGGCCGCGGAUAAGGGGCUUGUGGGGUCCUUGCAGGCCCCCUGCCCUGAUUCUCCGGCUUCCCGAUCUUUUUCUGUUUCAGAAAAAAAUCUUUUUGGCAGUUUCAUUCCGUUUGGGCUCCGUUCAAAAUCCUCCUCUGAAAGGGGUCAAAAACAUGGAAAAAACAGGAACUGACACUUGCCACUGAGUUAAUAAGUUAGUACCAAAAAAUAUAUAAAGGCAUGCAAAACAUCCAAAGUUUGACAAGAUAAUAGCAUGAAACCAUCAAAAAUUAUAGAUACGUUGGAGACGUAUCACUUGCUACGAAUCAUCUCACC
rnacentral:lncRNA from 1 species